GUAACUCCACGGCCUAGCAACCGUUGCCAAGGAGCUCGACUCUAGGAGCCGUCUAGAGCCCGGGCGCCUCCUGGGGGGUGGGGAAACGGUUUCGUGAGGAGGAUUUGAGUUAAAAUUAUAAGACCUAAUUAUGAGUGAUCAAAUUAAAUUCAUUGUGGACAGUCUCAAUAAGGAGCCCUUUAGGAAGAACUAUAAUUUAAUCACGUUUGAUUCCUUGGAGCCAAUGCAACUAUUACAAGUUCUCAGUGAUGUUCUGGCUGAGAUUGACCCAAAGCAACUUGUGGAUUUAAGAGAGGAGAUGCCAGAGCAGACAGCCAAACGAAUGUUGAGCGUUCUUGGUAUUCUUAAAUACAAACCUUCAGGAAAUGCCACAGACAUGAGUACUUUUCGUCAGGGUUUGGUGAUUGGAAGUAAACCUGUAAUUUACCCAGUGCUCCACUGGCUUCUUCAGAGGACUAACGAACUGAAGAAAAGAGCAUAUUUAGCUCGUUUUUUAAUAAAACUUGAGGUACCAAGUGAGUUUCUUCAGGAUGAAACUGUGGCUGACACUAAUAAACAGUAUGAAGAGUUAAUGGAAGCCUUUAAAACUUUGCAUAAAGAAUAUGAGCAGCUCAAAGCAUCUGGAUUUUCUACAGCAGAAAUAAGAAAGGAUAUCAGUGCAAUGGAAGAAGAAAAGGAUCAACUCAUUAAGAGAGUUGAACAUCUGAAGAAGAGGGUGGAGACAGCUCAGAAUUAUCAAUGGAUGCUUAAAAUAGCAAGGCAACUUCGAGUUGAAAAAGAGAGAGAAGAAUAUCUUGCACAACAGAAACAGGAACAAAAGAAUCAGCUAUUUCAUGCAGUGCAAAGAUUGCAAAGAGUACAAAACCAGCUGAAAAGCAUGCGCCAAGCUGCAGCAGAUGCAAAACCUGAAAGUUUAAUGAAGAGGCUAGAGGAGGAGAUAAAAUUUAAUUUAUAUAUGGUAACUGAAAAAUUUCCUAAAGAAUUAGAAAAUAAGAAAAAGGAAUUACAUUUUUUACAAAAAGUAGUUUCAGAGCCAGCAAUGGGCCAUUCUGAUCUUCUUGAACUUGAAUCUAAAAUAAAUGAAAUAAACACAGAAAUUAACCAGCUGAUUGAAAAGAAAAUGAUGAGAAAUGAGCCCAUUGAAGGCAAACUCUCACUGUAUAGGCAACAGGCAUCUAUCAUUUCCCGUAAAAAAGAAGCCAAAGCUGAAGAACUUCAGGAGGCCAAGGAGAAGUUAGCCAGCCUAGAGAGAGAAGCAUCAUUAAAGAGAAAUCAGACCCGUGAAUUCGAUGGUACUGAAGUUUUAAAGGGAGAUGAGUUCAAACGAUAUGUCAGUAAACUUCGAAGCAAGAGUACAGUUUUCAAAAAGAAACAUCAGAUAAUAGCUGAACUUAAAGCUGAAUUCGGUCUUUUGCAGAGGACUGAAGAACUUCUUAAGCAACGUCAUGAAAAUAUUCAACAACAACUGCAAACUAUGGAGGAGAAAAAGGGUAUAUCCGGAUAUAGUUACACCCAGGAAGAGCUAGAAAGAGUAUCUGCACUGAAGAGUGAAGUUGAUGAAAUGAAAGGACGAACAUUGGAUGAUAUGUCUGAAAUGGUGAAAAAACUGAAUUCACUGGUAUCUGAAAAGAAGUCAGCUCUUGCCUCAGUUAUAAAAGAGCUACGACAGUUGCGUCAAAAAUGUCAAGAACUGACCCAGGAGUGUGAUGAAAAGAAAUCCCAGUAUGAUAGCUGUGCAGCAGGCCUCGAAAGCAAUCGGUCUAAAUUAGAACAGGAAGUUAGAAGACUCCGUGAAGAAUGUCUUCAAGAAGAAAGUAGAUACCAUUAUACAAAUUGUAUGAUUAAGAACCUAGAAGUUCAACUUCGUCGUGCUACUGAUGAGAUGAAGGCAUAUAUCUCUUCUGAUCAACAAGAAAAAAGAAAGGCAAUUAGGGAACAGUAUACCAAAAAUAUUGCUGAACAAGAAAACCUUGGAAAGAAACUUCGGGAAAAACAAAAAGUUGUACGAGAAAGUCAUGGUCCAAAUAUGAAACAAGCAAAAAUGUGGCGUGAUUUGCAACAAUUAAUGGAAUGUAAGAAACAGUGCUUUCUGAAACAACAAAGCCAAACUUCCAUUGGUCAGAAUACACAGGAAAAGUAAAGUUUGCUUUUCCUGGUGUCAGAGAUGCCUCCAGCUACACAACUUUGGAACUGUGCUUUUUAAAGGCUUGAAAAAACAAAAUAAGAUGAUCUACAGAAUGUUCCUAAGAUCUGUAGUGCUCAAGGAUGAUUUUAAUGAGGAAAAUGUCUCAGAGAAAAGGGAUCCAGGACACCCAGAUGCUAAUCAGGAGCUCUUAUAGGAGCCUAGAAAGCAGCUGCAGACUCUAGGAGUAUCUUGACUUCUACCUGUGUAAGUACAGUUCUGUGUGACCGGCUAACUGGCCAGGAGACUGUGUCUCUGUUCUUGUCUGUGUAAUGCUACGUAAGUACUGCCAAAUUCUUGGGCAUGAGGUCUCCUUGUGUCAGUAUCUUGCAGACCAUUUCCCCAUUUGUUGAUACUCAUUCUUUAGUUUAAUUAGAGGACAGUUGAGUGUUGUGCAGUUUUCUCCGGUUGCCCAUGGUUGGGGAGGUGCACUGGCUGUGGUGAUGCAAGAGCAGCAGUUAUCAUGUAGGAUGGGCAGAAGGUCCCCAGCAGUUGAAAGCUCACAGUUGCCUCAGCUACACACUUUUCUUUUUUGAGACAGGGUCUCGCUCUGUCACCCAGGCUGGAAUGCAGUGGCAUGAUCAUGGCUCUCUGCAGCCUCAAACUCCUGGGUUCAAGUGAUCCUACCACCACAGCCUCCUGAGUAGCUGGGACUACAGGCACACACCACAAUGCCCAGCUCAUUUUUUAUUUUUUUGUAGAGAUGGGUCCCCACUAUGUUGCCCAAGCUUGUUACACUUUUUAAAUACUUAAGACCUAACAAUAUCAUUUGAAACCAAAUCAUUCCAUUUCACUCUCUUUAUACCUUAAGGAAAACAGAGGCAUCCUUUCAUAGUCUUUGAGAGUCACAAAAUUUGGGUGGCAAGAAAUGAGGGUUGGCUAGACGUGGUGGCUCACACCUCUAAUCCCA